rnacentral:misc_RNA from 1 species
GAUGAAGAACGCAGCGAAAUGCGAUAAGUAAUGUGAAUUGCAGAAUUCAGUGAAUCAUCGAAUCUUUGAACGCACAUUGCGCCCGCCAGUAUUCUGGCGGGCAUGCCUGUUCGAGCGUCAUUUCAACCAUCAAGCCCCCGGCUUGUGUUGGGGACCUGCGGCUGCCGCAGGCCCUGAAAACCAGUGGCGGGCUCGCUAGUCACUCCGAGCGUAGUAAUACAUCUCGCUCAGGGCGUGCUGCGGGUUCCGGCCGUUAAAAGCCUUAUUUACCCAAGGUUGACCUCGGAUCAGGUAGGAAGACCCGCUGAACUUAAGCAUAUCAUAAGCGGAGGA